GCUUAUUCAAAAAUAACAGCCUCUUUCUACUGCUUUGUAAUUUCUAUGUCUUAGCACGACGGGAUUGAUGCUGUAAGCAGUAAUUUACAACAGACCUAGCAGAUGCCCACAGCACUGAGAUCAGGUGAUCACAGCCACUUCCAGCUGAAACAUGACCACAUUGUGCAAUGGAUCCAGUUAGGAAAACAAAAGCACCAUGCCUGUAACUUCUUGCAUGUUCUCAGGAACAUCCCUAUAGACUUGGCUACAAAUUUCACAACAGUUCUUCUUGAGGAAGAUCUUGAAGCACAAAAGCAGAGAAAAACACCCAUAAAAAGGCCAACUUAAUGUUUCAGGAAACAAGGCAAGCUUUGGAUAGUACUGAUUCUAGGAAUAGGCAAAAGUCUCUUAUUUCAGUUAUUACUUUGCCCAUCUUCAUUAUUUACCAGGAAACCUCAAGACCUGUUACAUGAUCACAGACAACUGUAAUGAUGCCUGGUGAUAUAUAUGUACUAACAAAGGAAAAACAACUGUGAAAUGUGUUAUUAGGGAUGGAUUUAUUGUACUUGGUAGAUAAUAUCAGAUAAUCAUGAAGAGAGAAGUUCUUCUUUCAAACCAGAGCAUUUAUCGAUAGACUAAAGUCUAAUUUGCCUGAUGUGUUUUUCUAAAAUUGAUUGUAUAAGCCACGUGUUUUUGUCUCCAUCUGGCUUAUGCCAUUUGCAGCUAAAAUGCUAUGAUGUUUUUUUGUUGUUGUUGUUUGCCUGUUGUUUUUUUGUUUGCUUGUUUUUUUCCCUUCUCCAAUCUCAGAGAUCACCUGCAUGGUUGAUAAGGAAAUAACAUUCAUCUUAUCUCUGCACUGCCACUUACCCAUCGUAAAUAAUAUGUGUAGUUCUUAGAAAUGGUCUGCACCUGUGCUUUCCUCACAUUUGUGCUUCUCAAGACCUCCCUAUUUUUCUACAGUAGUAUCGUACUGCAACUCAGAUGAGUUUAAAGGUGAAGAUUCAUGAGUCAGGAAGAGCUAAGCCUUACUUUAUGCAAAAACCACCAGCAUGCUUUUGCUUCUAAACUGAGCAAAAGUGAUGGGAAGUCUCUGAAAGACAGUAAACACGAACCAUACUUAAAUGCUAACCUGCUUUAAAUAGCGUUUUGACAAUACAGAAAAUUAUUCUAAGACUUACAGCAGUUCUGCAGAACC
rnacentral:lncRNA from 1 species